rnacentral:rRNA from 1 species
AGAGUUUGAUCAUGGCUCAGGACGAACGCUGGCGGCGUGCCUAACACAUGCAAGUCGAACGAGGUCCAUUCAGUAGCAAUACUGAGGAAGACCUAGUGGCGAACGGGUGAGUAAUACAUCGGAACGUGUCCUGGAGUGGGGGAUAGCCCGGCGAAAGCCGGAUUAAUACCGCAUACGCUCUGAGGAGGAAAGCGGGGGAUCUUCGGACCUCGCGCUCAAGGGGCGGCCGAUGGCAGAUUAGCUAGUUGGUGGGGUAAAGGCCUACCAAGGCGACGAUCUGUAGCUGGUCUGAGAGGACGACCAGCCACACUGGGACUGAGACACGGCCCAGACUCCUACGGGAGGCAGCAGUGGGGAAUUUUGGACAAUGGGCGCAAGCCUGAUCCAGCAAUGCCGCGUGUGUGAAGAAGGCCUUCGGGUUGUAAAGCACUUUUGUCCGGAAAGAAAACCUUUGCCCUAAUACGGCGGGGGGAUGACGGUACCGGAAGAAUAAGCACCGGCUAACUACGUGCCAGCAGCCGCGGUAAUACGUAGGGUGCAAGCGUUAAUCGGAAUUACUGGGCGUAAAGCGUGCGCAGGCGGUCCGUUAAGACAGAUGUGAAAUCCCCGGGCUUAACCUGGGAACUGCAUUUGUGACUGGCGGACUCGAGUAUGGCAGAGGGGGGUAGAAUUCCACGUGUAGCAGUGAAAUGCGUAGAGAUGUGGAGGAAUACCGAUGGCGAAGGCAGCCCCCUGGGCCAAUACUGACGCUCAUGCACGAAAGCGUGGGGAGCAAACAGGAUUAGAUACCCCAGUAGUCC